rnacentral:tRNA from 1 species
AUAGCUCAGAUCGGCUAGAGCACACGGUUCAUACCCGUGGUGUCGAGAGUUCGAAUCUCCCUUCCGCUA